AGCCUAGUGGUUAGAGCGUUGGGCUAGUAACUGAAAGGUUGCAAGUUCAAAUCCCCGAGCUGACAAGGUACAAAUCUGUCGUUCUGCCCCUGAACAAGGCAGUUAACCCACUGUUCCUAGGCCGUCAUUGAAAAUAAGAGUUUGUUCUUAACUGACUUGCCUAGUUAAAUAAAAAAAAAUAAAAAAAGGUUAAAUGUAAGUCGCUCUGGAUAAGAGCGUCUGCUAAAUGACUUAAAUGUAAAAUGUAAAUGUAAAUGUAACUGGAACACAAGCAUAUCAAGCACCAAUGCAGUAUUAUAAUACAGACAUGAAUAAUCAUGCACAGAGCUCAGUCAUUCCUGGCCUCUCUGAACCAUCUGCUGACAGUCAUUCCCGCAGAGACUGAUCCCUGUAUAGGUAUUGAUUUAAUUUGUCCUGAUCUCACAGGUUAAAGACGUUUAAAUUGAUGCUUAGCCAGCUGUGUCGUGUUCUCCUCAACAAACAUGUUUUACUGCUACACCAUACCUUGUGUGUCUGUGGUCGACAGACACACACACUAUCACAUUAUUAAACUACCUAGAAUGAUUGGUACUGCUAGAUUUGGAAGUGAGGAAGUAUUGACGGACAUGGUUAGAACUUGACAAAGUACCAGAGAUUAACACCAUUGAUUUCUUCAGUGGCUCCACUGUAUUAUUUUGUAGAGAGAGUAGUCAUUUUGGAACACAGCCUAACUGACAGAGGAAAGAGGCAUGACUUACGCACAGAAACCCCUGCUUGAUUUACACGUUCACAGUCAAUCAGCCUUUGGCGAUCGUUAAUGGAAACCAUGGAAACGGUGGCUACCACCAUGGCAACCAAUCUUGUUUCUCUCUCAGUAGUUUGUUAUUUUAUGACAGAGGUUAUUCAGUAUUGUUUGAUGUUUAGGUCAUUGUACGUGUUGCUGUGGCCUAUAGGGCUGGCAGCAGAGAGACGCCUCGUUAGGAUACUGGAAUCAGAGUCAGAGACAGCCUGCCUACAGCUACAAAGGGAGCAUUUGCUAGCUACACUCUCCAGCUCUGGCUCUGUUUGUGUGGGUCUCUGCCAUAAAGAUAGUGUUCAACACGGACGCAGCUGUCAGACUGUUUCUGCCAUAGCCAUAGUGCUAAACAUGGAACAACCUUUCUCUUGAACAUGUUUGACAGUGAAGACAGAUACUGGGCAGAGACUGCUUACAUCAAAUAUAUCUCAUCUCUCCAUCCACUAUGUAUAUAAAAGGGUUGAUUCUUCUUCUCUACUGCAGUGAAACUUGUUAUUCUUCACUGACCCAAUCUGCCUCUCUCUGCCUGACUCUGUGUGAUGCUUCUGUUCUUCUUCUUCUCCUUUAGUUCUUCUUCUCCUUUAGUUCUUCUUCUCCUUUAGUUCUUCAUCUUCUCCUUUAGUUCUUCCUCUCUUCUCCUUUAGUUCUUCUUCUCCUUUAGUUCUUCUUCUCCUUUAGUUCGUCCUCUCUUCUCCUUUAGUUCUUCCUCUCUUCUCCUUUAGUUCUUCCCCUCUUCUCCUUUAGUUCAUCCCCUCUUCUCCUUUAGUUCAUCCCCUCUUCUCCUUUAGUUCUUCCCAUCUUCUCCUUUAGUUCUUCUUCUUCUCAUUUAGUUCUUAUUCUCCUCCUUUAGUUCUGCCUCUUCUCCUUUAGUUAUUCCUCUCUUCUCCUUUAGUUAUUCUCCUCCUUUAGUUCUGCCUCUCUUCUCCUUUAGUUCCUCUUCUUUUCCGUUAGUUCUUCUUCUCCUUAGGUUCUUCCUCUCUUCUUUAGUUCUUCCCCUCUUCUCCUUUAGUUCACCCCCUCUUCUCCUUUAGUUAUUUCCCUCUUCUCCUUUAGUUAUUUUUCUUCUCCUUUAGUUCACCCCCUCUUCUCCUUUAGUUAUUUCCCUCUUCUCCUUUAGUUAUUUUUCUUCUCCUUUAGUUCAUCCCCUCUUCUCCUUUAGUUCUUCCCCUCUUCUCCUUUAGUUCAGCCUCUCUACUCCUUUAGUUAUUCUUCUCCUUUAGUUCUUCCUCUCUUCUCUAGUUCUUCUUCUCCUUUAGUUCUUCCUCUCUUCUCUAGUUCUUCUUCUUCUCCUUUAGUUAUUAUUCUCCUUUAGUUCUUCCUCUCUUUUCCUUUAUUUUUUCCCCUCUUCUCCUUUAGUUCAUCCCCUCUUCUCCUUUAGUUCUUCCCCUCUUCUCCUUUAGUUCAGCCUCUCUACUCCUUUAGUUAUUCUUCUCCUUUAGUUCUUCCUCUCUUCUCUAGUUCUUCUUCUCCUUUAGUUCUUCCUCUCUUCUCUAGUUCUUCUUCUUCUCCUUUAGUUAUUAUUCUCCUUUAGUUCUUCCUCUCUUUUCCUUUAUUUCUUCCCCUCUUCUCCUUUAGUUCAUCCCCUCUUCUCCUUUAGUUCUUCCUCUCUUCUCUAGUUCUUCUUCUCCUUUAGUUCUUCCUCUCUUCUCUAGUUCUUCUUCUUCUCCUUUAGUUAUUAUUCUCCUUUAGUUCUUCCUCUCUUUUCCUUUAUUUCUUCCCCUCUUCUCCUUUAGUUCAUCCCCUCUUCUCCUUUAGUUCUUCCUCUCUUCUCCUUUAGUUCUUCCUCUCUUCUCCUUUAGUUCUUCCCCUCUUCUCCUUUAGUUCUUCCUCUCUUCUCCUUUAGUUCUUCUUCUCCUUUAGUUCUUCCUCUCUUCUCCUUUAGUUCUUCUUAUUCUCCUUUAGUUCUUCCCCUCUUGUCCUUUAGUUCUUCCUCUCUACUCCUUUAGUUCACCCCCUCUUCUCCUUUAGUUGUUCCUCUCUUCUCCUUUAGAUCUUCUUCUUCUCCUUUAGUUCUUCCUCUCUUCUCCUUUAGAUCUUCUUCUUCUCCUUUAGUUCUUCUUAUUGUCCUUUAGUUCUUCCUAUUCUCCUUUAGUUCAUCCUCUCUUCUCAUUUAGUUCUUCCUCUCUUCUCCUUUAGUUCUUCCCCUCUUCUCCUUUAGUUAUUCCUCUCUUCUCAUUUAGUUCUUCUUCUUCUCCUUUAGUUCUUCCUCUCUUCUCCUUUAGUUCUUCCUCUCUUCUCUUUUAGUUUUUCUUCUUCUCCUUUAGUUCUCCUUCUCCUUUAGUACAUAAUCUCUUCUCCUUUAGUUCUUCUUCCUCUCCUUUAGUUCUUCCUCUCUCCUCAUUUAGUUCUUCCUCUCUUCUCUUUUAGUUCCUCUUCUUCUCCUUUAGUUCUCCUUCUCCUUUAGUUCAUCCUCUCUUCUCCUUUAGUUCUGCUUCUUCUCCUUUAUUUCAUCCUCUCUUCUCCUUUAGUUCUUCUUCUCCUUUAGUUCAUCCCAUCUUCUCCUUUAGUUCAUCCUCUCUUCUCCUUUAGUGUUCUUCUCCUUCAGUUCUUCCUCUCUUUUCUAGUUCUUCUUCUUCUCCUUUAGUUCAUCCCCUCUUCUCUUUUAGUUAUUCCUCUCUUCUCCUUUAGUUCAUCCCCUCUUCUCCUUUAGUUCUUCCUCUCUUCUCCUUUAGUUCUUCACCUCUUCUCAUUUAGUUCUUCCCCUCUUCUCCUUUAGUUCUUCCCCUCUUCUCCUUUAGUUAUUCCCCUCUUCUCCUUUAGUUCUUCCCCUCUUUUCCUUUAGUUCUUCCUCUCUGCUCCUUUAGUUCUUCCUCUCUUCUCCAUUAGUUAUUUUUCUUCUCCUUUAGUUCAGCCUCUCUUCUCCUUUAGUUAUUCUUCUCCUUUAGUUCUCCUCUUCUCCUUUAGUUCUUCCUCUCUUCUCUAGUUCUUCUUCUCCUUUAGUUCUUCCUCUCUUCUCUAGUUCUUCUUCUUCUCCUUUAGUUAUUAUUCUCCUUUAGUUCUUCCUCUCUUUUCCUUUAUUUCUUCCCCUCUUCUCCUUUAGUUCAUCCCCUCUUCUCCUUUAGUUCUUCCUCUCUUCUCCUUUAGUUCUUCCUCUCUUCUCCUUUAGUUCUUCCCCUCUUCUCCUUUAGUUCUUCCUCUCUUCUCCUUUAGUUCUUCUUCUCCUUUAGUUCUUCCUCUCUUCUCCUUUAGUUCUUCUUAUUCUCCUUUAGUUCUUCCCCUCUUGUCCUUUAGUUCUUCCUCUCUACUCCUUUAGUUCACCCCCUCUUCUCCUUUAGUUGUUCCUCUCUUCUCCUUUAGAUCUUCUUCUUCUCCUUUAGUUCUUCCUCUCUUCUCCUUUAGAUCUUCUUCUUCUCCUUUAGUUCUUCUUAUUGUCCUUUAGUUCUUCCUAUUCUCCUUUAGUUCAUCCUCUCUUCUCAUUUAGUUCUUCCUCUCUUCUCCUUUAGUUCUUCCCCUCUUCUCCUUUAGUUAUUCCUCUCUUCUCAUUUAGUUCUUCUUCUUCUCCUUUAGUUCUUCCUCUCUUCUCCUUUAGUUCUUCCUCUCUUCUCUUUUAGUUUUUCUUCUUCUCCUUUAGUUCUCCUUCUCCUUUAGUACAUAAUCUCUUCUCCUUUAGUUCUUCUUCCUCUCCUUUAGUUCUUCCUCUCUCCUCAUUUAGUUCUUCCUCUCUUCUCUUUUAGUUCCUCUUCUUCUCCUUUAGUUCUCCUUCUCCUUUAGUUCAUCCUCUCUUCUCCUUUAGUUCUGCUUCUUCUCCUUUAUUUCAUCCUCUCUUCUCCUUUAGUUCUUCUUCUCCUUUAGUUCAUCCCAUCUUCUCCUUUAGUUCAUCCUCUCUUCUCCUUUAGUGUUCUUCUCCUUCAGUUCUUCCUCUCUUUUCUAGUUCUUCUUCUUCUCCUUUAGUUCAUCCCCUCUUCUCUUUUAGUUAUUCCUCUCUUCUCCUUUAGUUCAUCCCCUCUUCUCCUUUAGUUCUUCCUCUCUUCUCCUUUAGUUCUUCACCUCUUCUCAUUUAGUUCUUCCCCUCUUCUCCUUUAGUUCUUCCCCUCUUCUCCUUUAGUUAUUCCCCUCUUCUCCUUUAGUUCUUCCCCUCUUUUCCUUUAGUUCUUCCUCUCUGCUCCUUUAGUUCUUCCUCUCUUCUCCAUUAGUUCUUCCUCUCUUCUCUAGUUCUUCUUCUCCUUUAGUUCUUCUUCCCCUUUAGUUCUUCCUCUCUUCUCCUUUAGUUCUUCCUCUCUUCUCCUUUAGUUCUUCCUCUCUUCUCUAGUUCUUCUUCUUUUCCUUUAGUUAUUAUUCUCCUUUAGUUCUUCCUCUCUUCUCUAGUUCUUCUCCUUCAGUUCUUCUUCUUCUCCUUUAGUUCUUCCUCUCUUCUCCUUUAGUUCAUCCUCUCUUCUCCUUUCAGUUCUUCCCCUCUUCUCCUUUAGUUAUUCCCCUCUUCUCCUUUAGUUUUUCCCCUCUUCUUCUAUAGUUCUCCCUCUCUUCUCCUUUAGUUCUCCCUCUCUUCUCCUUUAGUUCUCCCUCUCUUCUCCUUUAGUUCUUUCUCUCUUCUCCUUUAGUUCUCCCUCUCUUCUCCUUUAGUUCUCCCUCUCUUCUCCUUCAGUUCUCCCUCUCUUCUCCUUUAGUUCUUCCUCUCUUCUCCUUUAGUUCUUCCCCUCUUCUCCUUUAGUUCUUCUCCUUUAGUUCUUCUUCUCUUCUCCUUUAGUUCUUCCUCUUUUCUCCUUUAGUUCGUUAGUGUUGUAUUGAUGAAGGCACAGCACAAAGUGAGUCCUUGGCAGACGGUUUCGUCUCAAGAGAAGGUGAUGUUUUAUAUGCCCUAACAGAUUUAGAAAAAUACAUUCAAUGUUUGUUUCGUAUAGAGAGUUUGAGAGCUGCAAAAAAAAUGGUGUUUCACACUUUGAAAAAGUGUAGAAAAAGCAGCUGUUGAAUAAUGCGUAGACAAUGUUUUAACCAAUUAAAAGUAAAUCUUAAGCCAAUAUAAUUUUGACAUUUUAAUUAAAGGGAUGUCCGGUUGCUGUUUCAUUUGGUGUUUCAGACUGAACAACAUUUGACUUUUCUUCUUCAUUUUUUCUUUUUUCAAAAGUUUUAAUACAAGAAUAUGAAGGGUUAUGAUAUAAAGGGAUUAUUUAGUUUGUUCACCUGAAAACCUCACGGUAUAGUUUUUUUAUACAUCACUACUGAAAGAUGUUGCUGAAUAAAACAUUUAUAAAUACAUGAAGAUCAUUCAUGAAUAAGAGAAAAGACAAAUCAACUUUUGAGAAAUAAACGUUUUCUAAGCAAAGUGUCUCUGAAGAAAGUCAUCAUGCUUUUUGUAACAGAAUAAAGGAAUCAACUAUGUAA